rnacentral:ncRNA from 1 species
AAAAGGUUUGGUCCUGGCCUUUUUAUUAGUUUAUAGCAAAUUUACACAUGCGAGCCUCCUCAUGCCAGUGAGAAUACCCUUAAAUUAAUCUUAACCUGAUUGUAAGGAGUAGGUAUCAAGCUCACUAAAGUUGCUCAAGACACCUUGCUUAGCCACACCCCCACGGGAAACAGCAGUGAUAAAAAUUAGGCAAUAAACGAAAGUUUGACCUAGUUAUGCUAUAGAGGGUUGGUCAAUUUCGUGCCAGCCACCGCGGUCAUACGAUUAACCCGUACUAAUAAAUCUACGGCGUAAAGCGUGUUUAAAGAGACACCUCCUNAAUAAGAUUAAACUCCAACUAAUACGUAGAAAUUCAUAGUUAGAAGUAAAAUAGGCUACGAAAGUGAUCUUAAUAUUCUUGAACACACGAUAGCUAGGAGACAAACUGGGAUUAGAUACCCCAUUAUGCCUAGCCCUAAACAGAGAUAGCCCCUAAUAAGGCUACCCGCCCGAGAACUACUAGCCACCGCUUAAAACUCAAAGGACUUGGCGGUACUUUAUAUCCACCUAGAGGAGCCUGUUCUAUAACCGAUAAACCCCGUUCAACCUCACCACUUCUUGCUAAUUCAGCCUGUAUACCGCCAUCUUCAGCGAACCCCUAUAGGGGACAAAAGUAAGCUCAAUAACUCUGUCCGUAAAAACGUUAGGUCAAGGUGUAGCCUAUGAAGUGGAAAGAAAUGGGCUACAUUUUCUCUCCCGAGAACAUCAACGAUACCCUCUUUGAAACAAGAGAGACAAGGAGGAUUUAGUAGUAAAUUAAGAGUAGAGUGCUUAAUUGAAUAGUGCAAUGAAGUACGCACACACCGCCCGUCACCCUCCUCAAAUACCCUUCUAAAGCUAUUCCAUAAUUCCAAGAACACCCGUAUAAGAGGAGAUAAGUCGUAACAUGGUAAGCAUACUGGAAAGUGUGCUUGGAU